GUUAAAAUGAAAAUGAGAUAUAAUCAGAUAUAAUGAUGAAAUUUUUAGUGUGAAUGUGAACACAAUGUAAUUGAUCAUGUCAUUAAAUAUUAGUAAUAAGAUAAGCUGGAGAUAUUUUACUCUGUUUCGGGUGAAGGGGGAUCUCAUAGCUGAACUUCCGUAAAGGAUGUGCGAGUGAGGCAUUGUUCCCUUGUUAUCUUGUUGUUGUCUUUCCGCCUGCAGUGAUUCCCUCAUUCUUUUCUCUCCAUUCUCAUUUCAGCUCCUUCUUUCUUCCGCCCACCAUUUUCUGGGUUCUAAAGAAAUUUCCUACAACUCUCCUCGUCUAGCUCCUGUUACCAUAACAAUGAGUUACAGGGAGCAUCUCUGCGGUUCUGCCUAGGUGCCCAUCCAGUUACAUUGAUUGAAGAGUUGCUUUCCAUGGUCACCAUGACAACAACUGGUGGAGGUGGAUGUCCAGCUCCCAAGGCACCUUCAUCUCACGCUGAAGAUCAACAGACAUCUGUGUUUCCAGUCUCUCUUCCGGGUCUGGGUGACUGAAUGCUGCACCACACCAAUGAGAGUCCUUGGGCCAGACUCCUAACACUACAGUGGCCCAACUCUGUAAUAGGAAUAAUAGUCACUUUGGAUAAAAGUGUCAAAUAAAUGCUGUAAAUCUAAAAUCUCCCUGUGUAUA
rnacentral:lncRNA from 1 species